CCGUGAACCCAUCGAGGUUUUUGAACGCAAGUUGCGCCCGAAGCCAUCCGGUUUAGGGCACGCCUGCCUGGGCGUCACGCAUCGCGUCGCCCCACAUCAUACUUCCCUUAAGGGUAGUCGUGGUGAUUGGGAGC
rnacentral:rRNA from 1 species